CUAUGGGGGCAAGCAGUGUUCUUCCAUGGCCUCUGCUUCAGUUCCUGCUCUGACUUCUCUUCAUGAUGGACUACAAAUGGUGGUAUUGGCCCCAAACCAUCUAAUAAUUCUCAAAAGAAAAGCGGGAGCCAGAUAUGCUGGUUUACUGAAGUCAGUCCAGAAGCAACCACUGGUGACUGCUUUUCUCCUGCUGUGGGUUUCAGAGAAGUCCUCUCCUGACUCCACCUAGUGGGAAGCCGGCGUC